rnacentral:ncRNA from 2 species
UAUGGUAUUAUAUAUGAUAAUUAUAUAAGCUCAUAAUAUGGUUGAGCGUCUCUACCAACUUCCGUAAAUAGUUGAUUAUAAUUUUAGGUAUAUCAACU